GAUGAACGCUGGCGGCGUGCCUAAUACAUGCAAGUCGAGCGAACAGACGAGGAGCUUGUUCCUCGGACGUUAGCCGCGGGGGGGUGAGUAACACGUGGAUAACCCACCUAUAAGACUGGUAUAAUUUCGGAAAACCGGAUCAAAUCGCGGAGAAUAUAUUGAACCAUAGGGUGCAAUAGUGAAAGUCGGUUGUGCUGGCACUUAUAGAUGGAUCCGCGCCGCAUGAGCUGGUUGGUAAGGUAACGGGUUACCAAGGCGACGAUGCGUAGACGACCUGAGAGGGUGAUCGCCCACCCUGGAACUGAGACACGCUCCAGGGUCCUACGGGAGGCAGCAGUAGCGAAUGUGAGGCAAAGGGCGAAAGCCUGACGGAGCAACGCCGCGUGAGAUAUGAAGGUCCUCCGAUCGUAAAGCUCUCUUAUUAGGGAAGAACAAAUGUGUAAGUAGCUAUGCACGUCUUGACGGUACCUGAUAAGAAAGCAACGGCUAACUACGUG
rnacentral:rRNA from 1 species